rnacentral:piRNA from 1 species
UUGGAUAAGAAGGUUGAGAAGGU